AUGCUAAUAUUUCUGCUCAUUUUCAUAAAGUUCAAUGGACUUGGCACAGUGCCAAUUGAGACGAAACAUUUUUAUGUCGAUGCUAGUGCCAGGAGAUUCGAUAGACUUAUUAGUUCUGUUGAUCGAAAUAUCGGAGAAAGCGAUAUCAUUCAUCCAUCUGUUUGUCCAUCAUCAUGCGAACAUCUUCAUCAAGCGAAACCAUAUGUACAAAAUCAUACAGACAUUAAUUACAGUAUCAAGGAGAUGACUGUUCCAACACUAUCCGCUGGAAAUCAAUAAACUUUGCAAUUCCAGUCGUUCAACUCCAACCUCAUACUAUAGUUCUCCCAGAUGCCGAACUAGAUUUCAGAGGCGCCGGAAUCCGAACAUCAUCACGUGGAGCCGACGAGUGGAAUUGUUCAAUUAAGAAGAUCAUGUACGAGAAUUUGAACACGAAAUGGAGGUCUAUAGCAAAGGAGAGGGGCAUUUUUCAGCUGACUAGUUCCAAUGGAAAGCCUAUUGUUUAUUUUGGCGGAACUGAAUUCGAUGCGUCAUUCCUGACUGGAGCCGUCGUAAUGAUAAAGUUGGAUUGUAAGACGUUCAUGUCAGCAGUCUCCGCCCCAUUCUGCAUUUCUCUCCGAAUUGCCGGUACUUCAGGUACCUCUUCCCAUUUCGACCAUAAGCGAUUCGAUUCCGAAGAGCCCGGAUGGAGAGUGGAAUCCACAUUUCUUCUGAUAAUUGUGGCUCUAAUCGUAAUUGUUCUCAUAAUCACGUUAGUCGUCUGGAAUAUCUGCUGGGGUAUUAAAAAACGAAAACUAAUCAGUGACUUUCAAAUGCAAUUUGUGCAACAGUACAAGCAUCAGAAUCAAAUUCUUCAGCAAAAUGGGACGGAAUUUGAAGAAAUCGAAGAGCAAGAAAUUCUUCAGUCACAUUCACAAUCAUUGAAUCGCAAGCGACUUAUUUUUAGUUCAGAAUACUUUGACUCUGCACAAAUGACCCAUCCGUCACCGCUAGCCAUACAAUUCCUUUACGACUUGCGACGAGUUGUAGAUGUUGCAAAGGAACGUAUACGUCAGCGCCGCUUUAUUCCGGCGCUUCCAGUUAUCAUUGAGGACGUCGAAAAUGAGAUAGAUUACGUGGAAGCUGUUGAGGGGCCAGUGGAUAUCGCUAGUUCAGCGACGCCCGAGUCGUCGCCACGCAGUGAGCAGAAAUCAGUGGAUAGCGGGAGAGAAUCGAGAGAUGAAUCCGAGGAAGACGAGGAGACUGCUCCUGGGACAGAGGGGCAAAAGGAGAUUUCUACAAUGACACAAAGUAAAGUGUCAGAUAUUGUGAAAUCUUUUGAAAAAUCUGCUCCCCGGCCUUCAUAUGUCCCGAUUAUGCUGAACUCCUCGAUGCGGAAGAAAAAACCGCUGAAGGUUGCUUCAACAACCCACGUGGAUUCUCCAGAGGAAGUAGCUCAAGCGUUUAGAAGUCGAAUUAAGGCGCCAACUGCGUUCACCGAUAAAAAAAGUCCUCGUGAGCGAAAAGGAUAUGCAGUUUUUCCAUCUGAUGGAACGUUCAACAAGUCAUUGCCACGUCGAGGAAAACGCCAACCGCAUGCACCACUGACAAACUAG
rnacentral:misc_RNA from 1 species